rnacentral:rRNA from 1 species
UACGUAGGGUGCAAGCGUUAAUCGGAAUUACUGGGCGUAAAGCGCACGCAGGCGGUUUGUUAAGUCAGAUGUGAAAUCCCCGGGCUCAACCUGGGAACUGCAUCUGAUACUGGCAAGCUUGAGUCUCGUAGAGGGGGGUAGAAUUCCAGGUGUAGCGGUGAAAUGCGUAGAGAUCUGGAGGAAUACCGGUGGCGAAGGCGGCCCCCUGGACGAAGACUGACGCUCCGGUGCGAAAGCGUGGGGAGCAAACAGG